CAAGAAACGAGGCCGCGUGCGCUCGCCCGCCCGGCCCCGCUCCUUACCUUGCCUACUGCACCGUUUGUUGCUUCCUGGCAGCGGACUGCCCGCCGCCAGGGACGUUGAUACAACCCUGUAUAGAAGCAUUGAAGCUCUGAGAAAACGCGAAAUCGUA
rnacentral:misc_RNA from 1 species